rnacentral:rRNA from 1 species
AUAGCGUAUAUUAAAGUUGUUGCGGUUAAAACGUUCGUAGUUGAACUUGUGCUUCAUACGGGUAGUACAACUAUAAUUGUGGUAUGUACUAUACCCUAUGUAUGUAAGCGUAUUACCGGUGGAGUUCUUACAUGUAAUAAUUAUACUUGUAUUUUUAUUAUAUGUUCCUCCUAUAUAAAAAAACCUGCUUCAGUGCUCUUCAUCGAGUGUUGAUGUGGGCCGGUACAAUUACUUUGAACAAAUUAGAGUGCUUAAAGCAAGCUCCAAAUGCCUGAAUAUUUUGUGCAUGGAAUAAUGAAAUAAGACCUCUGUUCUACUUUCAUUGGUUUUUAGAUCAAGAGGUAAUGAUUAAUAGAAGCAGUUUGGGUGCAUUAGUAUUACGACGCGAGAGGUGAAAUUCUUGGACCGUCGUAAGACUAACUUAAG